rnacentral:rRNA from 1 species
AAUGAACGCUGGCGGCGUGCAUAACACAUGCAAGUCGAACGAGAAACCCCGGGCUUGCUCGGGGGAGUAAAGUGGCGCACGGGUGAGUAACGCGUGGGUAACCUACCUCUGAAUCUGAAUAACUUCGCGAAAGCGUUGCUAAUACCGGAUAUUGUCCUUUGAACUGCGGUUCUUGGGAUGAAAGGUGACCUCUUCUUGAAAGUUGCCGUUCGGGGAUGGGCCCGCGUACCAUUAGCUAGUUGGUAGGGUAAUAGCCUACCAAGGCGAGGAUGGUUAGCUGGUCUGAGAGGAUGACCAGCCACACUGGCACUGAAACACGGGCCAGACUCCUACGGGAGGCAGCAGUGAGGAAUCUUGCGCAAUGGGGGAAACCCUGACGCAGCAACGCCGCGUGAGCGAAGAAGGCCUUCGGGUCGUAAAGCUCUGUCUAGUGGGAAAAAAGUCCUGGUGUAAAUAGCUCCAGGAUCUGAUGGUACCGCUGGAGGAAGCACCGGCUAACUCCGUGCCAGCAGCCGCGGUAA